ensembl:snoRNA Gm25092 predicted gene, 25092
UCUGCCCUAGAGGCACUGCAGGUGUGGCAGCUGUGUCACCUGUGCAUCAGUAGGUGACCGAGGAGACAGGCUAUGUCUGUGCUCAGUGCUCUGACCUGUGGACAUCUGAAUAAUUGGUAACCUAACAGU